GGACCCGCACAAGCGGUGGAGCAUGUGGUUUAAUUCGAAGAUACGCGCAGAACCUUACCAACACUUGACAUGUUCGUCGCGACUUUAAGAGAUUAAAGUUUUCGGUUCGGCCGGACGAAACACAGGUGCUGCAUGGCUGUCGUCAGCUCGUGUCGUGAGAUGUUGGGUUAAGUCCCGCAACGAGCGCAACCCUCACUUUUAGUUGCCAUCAUUUAGUUGGGCACUCUGAAAGAACUGCCAGUGAUAAGCUGGAGGAAGGUGGGGAUGACGUCAAGUCCUCAUGGCCCUUACGUGUUGGGCUACACACGUGCUACAAUGGUAUCUACAACAGGAAGCAAGACUGCGAAGUUAAGCAAAUCCCUAAAAGAUACCUCAGUUCGGAUUGCACUCUGCAACUCGAGUGCAUGAAGCUGGAAUU
rnacentral:rRNA from 1 species